GUUAAGUUCCUUGGAAACAGAUUCUGGGACAGUUAUUUGUGAACAGAAAGUUUACUGGAAGGAAGCAAAAUUAAGCAGAGGAAGAAACUAAACUGUGAUAUAGUCACAACUAUGGUCUCAGCUAUGAAGCUGUGAUUGCCUUUCAGAUUUGUCCUGAAUUAAGGAAAAGCACUUCAGGUCAUUCUGCUAGAGAUGCUUGGGAACAAUACCUUGAAAAACAUGAAUCCAGUGGACCCAUUUGAGGAGGCCCGCUGUCAACUCUAAAGCCAUUGUACCACUCCAUAGCUUGGACUGCCGAGCAACUAACCAUGAAGUAUGAAGAGAAUCUCAAAGCAGGUUUUCUUGAAAAAUGAAAUGUGAACGAAAACUUAUCUAUUCCAUUUAGUCACUUCUUAUUGAUAGAGAAGUUUCCAUCUGAAUAUCUGAAUUAAACAUUCAUUAACAGA
ensembl:lncRNA novel transcript